AGUGAACGCUGGCGGUAGGCCUAACACAUGCAAGUCGAACGGCAGCACAGUAAGAGCUUGCUCUUACGGGUGGCGAGUGGCGGACGGGUGAGGAAUACAUCGGAAUCUACUUUUUCGGGGGGGAUAACGUAGGGAAACUUACGCUAAUACCGCAUACGACCUACGGGUGAAAGCAGGGGAUCUUCGGACCUUGCGCGAUUGAAUGAGCCGAUGUCGGAUUAGCUAGUUGGCGGGGUAAAGGCCCACCAAGGCGACGAUCCGUAGCUGGUCUGAGAGGAUGAUCAGCCACACGGGAACUGAGACACGGUCCAGACUCCUACGGGAGGCAGCAGUGGGGAAUAUUGGACAAUGGGCGCAAGCCUGCUCCAGCCAUACCGCGUGGGUGAAGAAGGCCUGCGGGUUGUAAAGCCCUUUUGUUGGGGAAGAAAAGCAGCAGGUUAAUACCCCGCUGUUCGGACGGUACCCAAAGAAUAAGCACCGGCUAACUUCGG
rnacentral:rRNA from 1 species